GGGAGAAGGGAAUUUCUGGUGGGAGAAACAGAGCCUGCAAAGGAAACCCAUCCCCCAUAUCAAUACUGCUGUUUACCAGUCCUUGACCAAGUGCCAUAGACCCAAACCUUCACAAUCAGGACACCGGAGCACCACUGACUGAUGGCCCUAAUAAGGUCCCACCGAAUGACUGCACAAGACAAGAUGGCAAUGAUCAAUCUGCCUCCUUACUGCUGUAUUCCCCUGGAUGCUGCCUGAACAGGGCCCAGCUUCAAUAUCAUUUGUUGAAUGGACAAAUAAAUGAAUGAGUGGAUACUAAGGAAUCCAAAUAGGGAGAUCACAUCCAUGAGGUAUGAAUUAGAAUUUUGUCUCCACCAGAAAGUGUGAACUCAAAAAAGAGAAUUUAUAGCAAAAUACUACUUUAGCUCAGGAUUCAUCCUUUAAGACGUGAAGGUGGCAGCCGGCCCCGAGGAGACUGAAACUCCCCCUCCCACAGUCACUCCUGAGGAGCCACUUGCAGCUGGAUAGCUCUCCUAGAUGACUCAGAAACACGUUUAGGUAACACAUCCCUGGGAGAGAAAUGGAGACUCUGUUUAAAAUGGAAUCCUACUGGGACAAAACACUAAAGCUUGCUCAAAGUUAAAUGUCAUGUUGUAAACUCCAAGUGAAGGGAAAACUCCACAAUUUAAAUUCAUUCUAAAGAGGGCAGCAAGCCUCACAUUAAUAACGCAACUUCUUACCUGCAAAACCACAUAAGUCAAUUUCCAAAACAUCAUGAGGUCAGCUGCAAAUGGCGGGAAUGCCCUACAGGUUUGAGAAAACAUGGGUGUGGCACUUCCAAAUCAGUGCCUGGAAUCUUGUCAUCUGUUAUGUAUGUGCUCAUUUGGGGUCAAGUGCUGGACUGGCCCUGGGGUGAUGGCUGUGAAGAUCCCCAACAUGGUUUCUGUCCUUGUGGAG
rnacentral:lncRNA from 1 species